rnacentral:rRNA from 1 species
GACGAACGCUGGCGGCGUGCUUAACACAUGCAAGUCGAACGGUAAGGCCCUUCGGGGUACACGAGUGGCGAACGGGUGAGUAACACGUGGGUGAUCUGCCCUGCACUUCGGGACAAGCCUGGGAAACUGGGUCUAAUACCGGAUAGGACCACUGCCUGCAUGGGUGGAGGUGGAAAGCUUUUGCGGUGUGGGAUGGGCCCGCGGCCUAUCAGCUUGUUGGUGGGGUGAUGGCCUACCAAGGCGACGACGGGUAGCCGGCCUGAGAGGGUGACCGGCCACACGGGGAAUGAGGUACGGCCCAGACUCCAACGGGAGGCAGCGGUGGGGAAUAUUGCACAAUGGGCGCAAGCCUGAUGCAGCGACGCCGCGUGAGGGAUGACGGCCUUCGGGUUGUAAACCUCUUUCAGCACCGACGAAGCGCAAGUGACGGUAGGUGCAGAAGAAGGACCGGCCAACUACGUGCCAGCAGCCGCCGUAA